UAUACACCAAAACAGAGACA
rnacentral:misc_RNA from 1 species